rnacentral:snoRNA from 1 species
AUUGGCCAGUGAUGUAUUGAUAUUGCCGACAUUGGCUGAUAAUCUUAUCUUUGAUAAUGACGUGUCAAAAAUAUCUGAGGCCUGC